AUUGAACGCUGGCGGCAGGCCUAACACAUGCAAGUCGAACGAGUGGCGGACGGGUGAGUAAUGUUUGGGAAUCUGGCUGAUGGAGGGGGAUAACUACGGGAAACGGUGGCUAAUACCGCAUACCAUAGGAUGAGCCCAGGUGGGAUUAGGUAGUUGGUGGGGUAAAGGCUCACCAAGGCGACGAUCCCUAGCUGGUCUGAGAGGAUGAUCAGCCACACUGGGACUGAGACACGGCCCAGACUCCUACGGGAGGCAGCAGUGGGGAAUAUUGCGCAAUGGGCGCAAGCCUGACGCAGCAAUGCCGCGUGAAUGAAGAAGGCCUUCGGGUUGUAAAGUUCUUUCGGUAGGGAGGCGUUAACUACAGAAGAAGCACCGGCUAACUCCGUGCCAGCAGCCGCGGUAAUAC
rnacentral:rRNA from 1 species